AUCAUAUUCUCUACCCAAAUGCCU
rnacentral:siRNA from 1 species